rnacentral:rRNA from 1 species
CGUCGGAGCGAACGUUUGCGGCGGGCCUAACACAUGCAAGUCGAACGCACUAACAAUAGUCAGUGGCGCACGGGUGCGUAACACGUGGGUAAUCAACCCUUCAGCCUGGGAUAACGAUCUGAAAGGAUCGCUAAUACCGGAUGCGAUGCGAGGAACCUCGGUUUUCGCAGGAAAGCUUCGCAAGGAGCACUGAAGGACGAGCCUGCGGCCCAUCAGCUAGUUGGUGAGGUAAAAGCUCACCAAGGCGAAGACGGGUAGCUGGUCUGAGAGGAUGAUCAGCGACACUGGAACUGAGACACGGUCCAGACUCCUACGGGAGGCAGCAGUGGGGAAUAUUGCGCAAUGGGCGAAAGCCUGACGCAGCCACGCCGCGUGAGCGAUGAAGGCCUUCGGGUCGUAAAGCUCUGUGGGGAGAGAAGAAGAAAGCGGGUGAAGAAUCCGCCUUGACGGUAUCUCCUUAGCAAGCACCGGCUAACUCCGUG